GACGAACGCUGGCGGCGUGCUUAACACAUGCAAGUCGAACGGAAAGGCCCUGCUUUUGUGGGGUGCUCGAGUGGCGAACGGGUGAGUAACACGUGAGUAACCUGCCCUUGACUUUGGGAUAACUUCAGGAAACUGGGGCUAAUACCGGAUAGGAGCUCCUGCUGCAUGGUGGGGGUUGGAAAGUUUCGGCGGUUGGGGAUGGACUCGCGGCUUAUCAGUUUGUUGGUGGGGUAGUGGCUUACCAAGGCUUUGACGGGUAGCCGGCCUGAGAGGGUGACCGGCCACAUUGGGACUGAGAUACGGCCCAGACUCCUACGGGAGGCAGCAGUGGGGAAUAUUGCACAAUGGGCGGAAGCCUGAUGCAGCAACGCCGCGUGCGGGAUGACGGCCUUCGGGUUGUAAACCGCUUUCGCCUGUGACGAAGCGUGAGUGACGGUAAUGGGUAAAGAAGCACCGGCUAACUACGUGCCAGCAGCCGCGGUGAUACGUAGGGUGCGAGCGUUGUCCGGAUUUAUUGGGCGUAAAGGGCUCGUAGGUGGUUGAUCGCGUCGGAAGUGUAAUCUUGGGGCUUAACCCUGAGCGUGCUUUCGAUACGGGUUGACUUGAGGAAGGUAGGGGAGAAUGGAAUUCCUGGUGGAGCGGUGGAAUGCGCAGAUAUCAGGAGGAACACCAGUGGCGAAGGCGGUUCUCUGGGCCUUUCCUGACGCUGAGGAGCGAAAGCGUGGGGAGCGAACAGGCUUAGAUACCCUGGUAGUCCACGCUGUAAACGGUGGGUACUAGGUGUGGGGUCCAUUCCACGGGUUCCGUGCCGUAGCUAACGCUUUAAGUACCCCGCCUGGGGAGUACGGCCGCAAGGCUAAAACUCAAAGGAAUUGACGGGGCCCCGCACAAGCGGCGGAGCAUGCGGAUUAAUUCGAUGCAACGCGUAGAACCUUACCUGGGUUUGACAUGGAUCGGGAGUGCUCAGAGAUGGGUGUGCCUCUUUUGGGGUCGGUUCACAGGUGGUGCAUGGCUGUCGUCAGCUCGUGUCGUGAGAUGUUGGGUUAAGUCCCGCAACGAGCGCAACCCUUGUUCACUGUUGCCAGCACGUUAUGGUGGGGACUCAGUGGAGACCGCCGGGGUCAACUCGGAGGAAGGUGGGGAUGACGUCAAGUCAUCAUGCCCCUUAUGUCCAGGGCUUCACGCAUGCUACAAUGGCUGGUACAGAGAGUGGCGAGCCUGUGAGGGUGAGCGAAUCUCGGAAAGCCGGUCUCAGUUCGGAUUGGGGUCUGCAACUCGACCUCAUGAAGUCGGAGUCGCUAGUAAUCGCAGAUCAGCAACGCUGCGGUGAAUACGUUCCCGGG
rnacentral:rRNA from 1 species